rnacentral:RNase_P_RNA from 1 species
GAGGUGAGGAUCAGAGCUACAGAGACGAGCCGGUUAAGUCCGGGUGAAACGAGCAAUCUCUACGCGCAGCAAUACCAAGUAGGCACACGUUGACGGGGCCCCCGGAGUGUGCGGGUAGGUAGCACCGAGCCGUCUGGCGACAGACGGCCCAGAUUAAUGGCAGUCACGGGGCGGCGACCGCAAGGAAACCGUUCCGCACAAAAUCCGGCCUAUCGGCGGGCUUCACAC